UACAGAGGGGGCAAGCGUUGUUCGGAAUUACUGGGCGUAAAGGGCGCGUAGGCGGCCUGUUAAGUCGAACGUGAAAUCCCCCGGCUCAACCCGGGAACUGCGUCCGAUACUGGCAGGCUUGAAUUCGGGAGAGGGAUGCGGAAUUCCAGGUGUAGCGGUGAAAUGCGUAGAUAUCUGGAGGAACACCGGUGGCGAAGGCGGCAUCCUGGACCGAGAUUGACGCUGAGGCGCGAAAGCCAGGGGAGCAAACGGG
rnacentral:rRNA from 1 species